rnacentral:rRNA from 1 species
UACGAAGGGGGCUAGCGUUGUUCGGAAUUACUGGGCGUAAAGCGUGCGCAGGCGGCUUCUCAAGUCAGGGGUGAAAGCCCAGAGCUCAACUCUGGAAUUGCCUUUGAGACUGAGUGGCUUGAGUACGGGAGAGGAUAGUGGAAUUCCCAGUGUAGAGGUGAAAUUCGUAGAUAUUGGGAAGAACACCGGUGGCGAAGGCGGCGUAUCUGGACCGUAACUGACGCUGAGGCGCGGAAAGCGUGGGGAGCAAACAGG